GAAAUCCGAUGCAACGAUAAUCACUAACCACUUAACCCCUCGGCCCCUCAAUCUUCCCCCCUGGAAUGAAUCCUCCGCCAGGGAACUAACAUCCCCAAUUGCCACACACAAAUCCGCCAUCGGUCAGACGAAAUUACAAGAGCUUCAUCGAUCGGUUAAUUUCUCUUCGCCGAUUUCGAGCAGCGACCAGACGCCGACCACCGUACGAGAAAACGGAUCCGACUUUCGCUCGCCACUCGCCGACGGAGCUCCACCGUUCCGAGAAUGAAGUCUCGCCACCGAUCGUCCGCAGAAGCUCUAGAGAGAUGUUAGUGAGCGCGCGAGCGAACGAGAGAGAGAGAGAUCCCCG
rnacentral:lncRNA from 1 species